CAUAUUUAAUGGAAAUAAUCAUUAAUGAAAUCUGCUCAAUGAAUAUAAAUAGCCGCAGAUAAACUGUGCUAAGGUAGCAUAAUCACUCGCCUUUUAAUUUAAGACUAGAAUGAAUGAUCAAACAUUUAAAUUAUUAUUUUAACUUUAUUUAUAAAAUUCAUCUAAAUAUAAAAAAGUAUUUAUACUAAAGAAAGACGACAAGACCCUAUUGAACUUUACUUUAGUUUAACUGGGGUAGUUAAUUAACUAAAUUUUAAUUAUUAUUACUAAAAGACCUAAUAAUAUUAAUCAAUUAAUUAAGUUACCAUAGGGAUAACAGCAUAAUUUAUUUAUAUAGCUCUUAUACAUAAAUAAGAUUAUGACCUCGAUGUUGAAUUAAUAUUCUUUUAGAUGCAAUAACCUAACAAAGAAAGU
rnacentral:rRNA from 1 species